CUCCUGAGUAUCUAGGAUUAUAGGUGUGAGCCACUAACACCAAGUGCUCAGCUUAAACCUUCCAUUCUUAUGGAGCUCUCCUCUCAACAGAGAAAACAGAAAUCCUUCACUUUUAACUUUCACAGCUUAAAAAAAAAGUCACUUUUGC